rnacentral:lncRNA from 1 species
GACCCCUACUACUAGUACCAUCAGCCCUGCAGACCCCUUCCACCAGCCCAUGUUCUGCCCAUCUGCAGGUCCAACAAUGUGGAGUCAUCUGGCUACAACUACAACAUUGGCCUGACCGUGCCCUAUGACAUCCUGUCUGGCUCUCACCCCUCCCACUGACCCCUACCACCAGCCCUUCAGACCCCUACUAUUAGAACCACCAGCCCUUCAGACUCCUUCCACCAGCCCUUCAGACCCCUUCCACCAGCCCUUCAGACUCCUACCACCAGCCCUUCAGAACCCCUACCACCAGCCCUUCAGACUACUUCCACCACUUCAGACCCCUACCACCAGCUCUUCAGACCCCUUCCACCAGCCCUUCAGACCCUACCACCAGCCCUUCAGACCCCUACCACCAGCCCUUCAGACUACUUCCACCAGCCCUUCAGACCCCUACCACCAGCUCUUCAGACCCCUUCCACCAGCCCUUCAGACUCCUACCACCAGCCCUUCAGACUCCUUCUACCAGCCCUUCAGACUCCUUCCACCAGCCCUUCAGACCCCUCACACCAGCCUUCAGACUCCUUCCACCAGCCUUCAGACUCCUUCCACCAGCCCUUCAGACCCCUUCCUCCAGUCUUCAGACCCACUAACCACCAGCCCUUCAGACUCCUUCCACCAGCCCUUCAGACUCCUUCCACCAGCCCUUCAGACUCCUUCCACCAGCCCUUCAGACCCCUUCCACCAGCCCUUCUGA